CCAAUCACAUGCCGGAAGCCGCCGGAAGGGCGGGGCCUAGACCCAGUACCCGCCUCCUCGUCUCCCCGCCGCCUACUGCUGCGGCGCCCCUAGCUGGGAAGUGGUAGUGCCCUGGGCUAGGGACCCACUCGAGUCGCUCCCCCCACGUUCCCCAGUACUGGAGGCAAGUCCAAGCUGGGAGUUGGGAGGCUGAGGCUCUCAUCCACGUUCCGCCAUCUCCUCUGCUAUGUGACGUCCAGCAGGCCACUUCACUCUCUGAGCCUCAGAUUUCCUCCCCUGUAUAAAAGGGGGAAUAAGAGCAGCCUCAGCGCAAAACUGCUGUGAGGCACAGAAAAAAGGAGCUCGGGGUUCCAAGGUCCGCACCUUCAUCUUCCUCACAGUUGAGGGACGCCCCAGGAAAGGGUAUUCCUAGAAUGUUCCAUGUAAGGGUCACCCUCCCUCCUCCCAAAGUGGUUGAUCGUUGGAACGAGAAGAGGGCCAUGUUUGGGGUGUAUGACAACAUCGGGAUCCUGGGAGACUUUAAAAUGCACCCCAAAGAACUGAUCAAGGGCCCCAGAUGGCUUCGAGGCUGGAAGGGGAAUGAAUUACAACGUUGUAUCCGAAAGAAGAAAAUGGUUGGAAAUAGAAUGUUCCUUGAUGAUCUGCACAAACUUAACAAACGCAUCAGCUACCUCUAUAAACACUUUAAUCGACAUGGAAAGUACCGGUAAAAGAGAAAGCUGGAAACUAGAAGAGGCACAUCUGUCACGCCGGAGAAGGGGAACAGUACUUUUCCUUAUAAGGGAAGGAAUUUGUAUGCUCCCUGUAAUAAAAUGGGGCUUCUUUGGAAUCUGUUAGCCACAAACUUUAUUUUACUCUAGAUGCUGCUUUUGUUCAUUCCUGUAGGCUAUGAAAGUCUGACUCAUCCAUAAGUCCUAUAGUCUUAGGUUUGGACUUAACCACUUGCCCUUUAAGAAAAAAAAAAUUAUUUUUGGCACUUUUUGUUAUUUAGGCCUUCAUGUAUUGAAAGUGGUCAUUUUUAAUUACCUCGUAAUUCUGUUAUGUUAAAUAUAUUUUUCAAAACACCUUCA